rnacentral:rRNA from 1 species
UACGUAGGGUGCGAGCGUUGUCCGGAAUUAUUGGGCGUAAAGAGCUCGUAGGCGGUGUGUCGCGUCGGUCGUGAAAACUUGGGGCUUAACCCUGAGCUUGCGGUCGAUACGGGCAUCACUGGAGUUCGGCAGGGGAGACUGGAAUUCCUGGUGUAGCGGUGAAAAUGCGCAGAUAUCAGGAGGAACACCGGUGGCGAAGGCGGGUCUCUGGGCCGAUACUGACGCUGAGGAGCGAAAGCGUGGGGAGCGAACAGGA